rnacentral:rRNA from 1 species
AGAGUUUGAUCAUGGCUCAGAUUGAACGCUGGCGGCAGGCCUAACACAUGCAAGUCGAGCGGUAGAGAGAAGCUUGCUUCUCUUGAGAGCGGCGGACGGGUGAGUAAUGCCUAGGAAUCUGCCUGGUAGUGGGGGAUAACGCUCGGAAACGGACGCUAAUACCGCAUACGUCCUACGGGAGAAAGCAGGGGACCUUCGGGCCUUGCGCUAUCAGAUGAGCCUAGGUCGGAUUAGCUAGUUGGUGAGGUAAUGGCUCACCAAGGCGACGAUCCGUAACUGGUCUGAGAGGAUGAUCAGUCACACUGGAACUGAGACACGGUCCAGACUCCUACGGGAGGCAGCAGUGGGGAAUAUUGGACAAUGGGCGAAAGCCUGAUCCAGCCAUGCCGCGUGUGUGAAGAAGGUCUUCGGAUUGUAAAGCACUUUAAGUUGGGAGGAAGGGCAGUAACCUAAUACGUUGCUGUCUUGACGUUACCGACAGAAUAAGCACCGGCUAACUCUGUGCCAGCAGCCGCGGUAAUACAGAGGGUGCAAGCGUUAAUCGGAAUUACUGGGCGUAAAGCGCGCGUAGGUGGUUUGUUAAGUUGGAUGUGAAAUCCCCGGGCUCAACCUGGGAACUGCAUUCAAAACUGACAAGCUAGAGUAUGGUAGAGGGUGGUGGAAUUUCCUGUGUAGCGGUGAAAUGCGUAGAUAUAGGAAGGAACACCAGUGGCGAAGGCGACCACCUGGACUGAUACUGACACUGAGGUGCGAAAGCGUGGGGAGCAAACGGGAUUAGAUACCCUGGUAGUCCACGCCGUAAACGAUGUCAACUAGCCGUUGGGAGCCUUGAGCUCUUAGUGGCGCAGCUAACGCAUUAAGUUGACCGCCUGGGGAGUACGGCCGCAAGGUUAAAACUCAAAUGAAUUGACGGGGGCCCGCACAAGCGGUGGAGCAUGUGGUUUAAUUCGAAGCAACGCGAAGAACCUUACCAGGCCUUGACAUCCAAUGAACUUUCCAGAGAUGGAUUGGUGCCUUCGGGAACAUUGAGACAGGUGCUGCAUGGCUGUCGUCAGCUCGUGUCGUGAGAUGUUGGGUUAAGUCCCGUAACGAGCGCAACCCUUGUCCUUAGUUACCAGCACGUAAUGGUGGGCACUCUAAGGAGACUGCCGGUGACAAACCGGAGGAAGGUGGGGAUGACGUCAAGUCAUCAUGGCCCUUACGGCCUGGGCUACACACGUGCUACAAUGGUCGGUACAGAGGGUUGCCAAGCCGCGAGGUGGAGCUAAUCCCAUAAAACCGAUCGUAGUCCGGAUCGCAGUCUGCAACUCGACUGCGUGAAGUCGGAAUCGCUAGUAAUCGCGAAUCAGAAUGUCGCGGUGAAUACGUUCCCGGGCCUUGUACACACCGCCCGUCACACCAUGGGAGUGGGUUGCACCAGAAGUAGCUAGUCUAACCUUCGGGAGGACGGUUACCACGGUGUGAUUCAUGACUGGGGUGAAGUCGUAACAAGGUA